rnacentral:rRNA from 1 species
UAACACCUGGAAACAGAUGCUAAUACCGGAUACAACAGAUGAUGCCUAUCAACUGUUUAAAAGAUGGUUCUGCUAUCACUCUUGGAUGGACCUGCGGUGCAUUAGCUAGUUGGUAGGGUAACGGCCUACCAAGGCGAUGAUGCAUAGCCGAGUUGAGAGACUGAUCGGCCACAUUGGGACUGAGACACGGCCCAAACUCCUACGGGAGGCAGCAGNG